GAUUGAAACGACUGCUAAGACUGGAUAGGAAACAAAAAGGCAUCUUUUUGUUUUUAAAAGACCUUCUUACGAAGGUAUGCUUAAAGAGGGGCUUGCGCCACAUUAGUUAGUUGGUAGGGUAAAAGCCUACCAAGACGAUGAUGUGUAGCUGGACUGAGAGGUUGAACAGCCACAUUGGGACUGAGACACGGCCCAAACUCCUACGGGAGGCAGCAGUAGGGAAUUUUCGGCAAUGGAGGAAACUCUGACCGAGCAACGCCGCGUGAACGAUGAAGUAUUUCGGUAUGUAAAGUUCUUUUAUUGAAGAAGAAAAAGUAGUGGAAGAACUAUAUUGACGUUAUUCAAUGAAUAAGCCCCGGCUGACUAUGUGCCAGCAGCCGCGGUAAGACAUAGGGGGCGAGCGUUAUCCGGAAUUAUUGGGCGUAAAGGGUGCGUAGGCUGUUAGAUAAGUCUAUAAUUUAAUUUCAGUGCUUAACGCUGUCUUGUUAUAGAAACUGUCUUGACUAGAGUGAGAUAGAGGCAAGCGGAAUUCCAUGUGUAGCGGUAAAAUGUGUAAAUAUAUGGAGGAACACCAGAAGCGUAGGCGGCUUGCUGGGUCUUUACUGACGCUGAGGCACGAAAGCGUGGGUAGCAAACAGGAUUAGAUACCCUGGUAGUCUACGCCGUAAACGAUGAGUACUAAGUGUUGGGGUAAAACUCGGUACUGAAGUUAACACAUUAAGUACUCCGCCUGAGUAGUACGUACGCAAGUAUGAAACUUAAAGGAAUUGACGGGACUCCGCACAAGCGGUGGAUCAUGUUGUUUAAUUCGAAGAUACACGAAAAAUCUUACCAGGUCUUGACAUACUCUGCAAAGCUAUAGAAAUAUAGUGGAGGUUAUCAGGGAUACAGGUGGUGCAUGGUUGUCGUCAGUUCGUGUCGUGAGAUGUUAGGUUAAGUCCUAAAACGAGCGCAACCCUUGUCGUUAAUUGCCAGCACGUAAUGGUGGGGACUUUAGCGAGGCUGCCAAUUAAACAUUGGAGGAAGGUGAGGAUUACGUCAAAUCAUCAUGCCCCUUAUGAUCUGGGCUACAAACGUGAUACAAUGGCUGUGACAAAGAGUAGCUGAAACGCGAGUUUUUAGCCAAUCUCAAAAAAGCAGUCUCAGUUCGGAUUGAAGUCUGUAACUCGACUUCAUGAAGUUGGAAUCGCUAGUAAUCGCGAAUCAGCAUGUCGCGGUGAAUACGUUCUCGGGGUUUGUACACACCGCCCGUCAAAUC
rnacentral:rRNA from 1 species